ensembl:misc_RNA
CUAUAAAAGAUGUAACAGAUGCAAACUGUAAAACAAGGACAAUUAACCCUUGCUCUUCUGAACAAAAUCCACCCUAGCCUCAGCAUCUAUUGUCUACUCCUCUGCUAUAAAGCUUUACACAAAACCGAGAA